UAGUGUGUGAAGUCAGUCCUGAACUGUUGAACCCAGUGCAAGCCCGGAACGAGAGGGAGAGGCCAGUGCAAGAGUCGAUACGGUGGAACGGCUAUUAACAAGAGAGAUAUUUGUACAGUGUACGUGUUGCCAAUUGUACAGUAUUGGCUGGUUCUUUUUUAAAAAU
rnacentral:sRNA from 1 species